rnacentral:lncRNA from 1 species
UGAUUACAACACUACUGGUGGACUCGGCACCGUCAGAGACCUAUUAUGACUGAGUCUACAGCUAGUACAAAUUUCCAAAUGAGAAUUUAAAUUUCCCAAGUCAUGUGUUAUGGGGGCAGUGGGGAAGCCUAGUGGUUAAAGUGUUCACUUGUCAUGCCGAAGACCUGGGUUUGAUUCCCCACAUGGGUACAACAUGUAAUGCCCAUAUCUGGUGUCCCCUGCCGUGAUAUUGCUGGAAUAUUGCUAAAAGCGGCAUAAAACUAAACUCACUCACUAAUGUUGUUAUGGUUGAAUAUAUUCCAACAAAUGUUUAGCUGACUGUAAUUUCCCCUUGAAGCCUUGAUAACAGAAACAAUAUAAAGGAUCAGAGGGAUUUAAAUGGUUGUUUGUACCUUACUGAAGUUCAUAUAAUAUUUACUCUCUACUUCAUUAGAAACAUUAUGAAAAUCCUGGCUUUGGAUUAUAUAUAAGAAAAUAUUUCCCCAAUUAAGUUGCUAAGGAAUAUCAGAUAUAUUCCCUGUGUUUUCCCAGAUACAUACCUAACAAUCAGGAUAAAAUGGUCUCCAUCGAGAUGGCAACCAAAUCGGUUCUUCGUAAAUAAGGUUUCUGUGGUGUGGACAGUGGUCAGCUUGUCCAGCUGAAGGUCUGGUUUGAUUCCUUUUGUGGGUGCAAAUGACCUGACUUUAGCUGAUGGCUACCAGACUCACCCACCCUUAAUGGCCAGCAUCUUAGAUCGGACAUGCAUAAAAUCUGGAUCGUAUGCUAUUUCAGUACUUUUUUUAAAGGGACAUUUAAAAUUUUAAAAGAACAUUUUGAGGUAUUUCUUGUCAUAAUAAGGCUUUGAACCAAUUAUUUAAGAAGCAAUUGAUUAAUUUGUUGUGACCAAAUAAGCUUUUAUUACUUUCCCAACCAUUUUACAUGUUUUAAGCAUAUUAAAUCUUAUAUGAACACCACUUUGGCCCCAUUCUACAAAGCAAGUUUAGCACUAAGAGGUUGUAACAUAGACUUCCAAAUAUCUUAUAGCUGAGUUUACUUUGUGAAUGGGCCCCUGUACAGCAUGUUUUGUGGGAACUGUGGAGAUAGUGCAUCCUCCAUUUCCACUCAUUUACUGUUGUCUGUCAGAGGAAGUAGUGGACACUGGUCAAAGUUUAGACGUAUCAAUAUUUUUCAACAUGUACAGUCAUACCGGUUUCAUAAGUUAAUAUUUCUGAACUGGAGACAUGUUUGUGAUUCUAUUUGAAUCAUGAACAGGAUAUAUGUGUAUGCUAUUUUUAUUUUUAUACGUACCGUAAUCAUAAAGUCACUGAUUGAUCGCCUGAGAUAGCCAUUGAGAUUGGAGAAGACUGUUCAGGGUGUCUGUGGCGUUCAUUAGUGUUUACUGCCCAACUGUUGUUUGUCAGGAUGUUUGGAUCCACUUUUAGAUUCAGUAGGCAAGUCGUUAUUCACAAGAUAAAUUUGGUUCUCAUUUGUUGCAGAAAUGAGAUCUUAGACAUUGAUGAGAUAGAUGUGUGCAAUUUUCCCAACAUGUUUAAUGCCAUGAUUGAAAAAUCUCUUCAGAAUAAGCCAAUAAUGGAAGUGAAGACAGGACUUUGAGAUGUUUUCUGUAACCACUUUUUGUUAUCUGUUUUUCCUGCCCCACUUAAUACUUUGAAGCUGUCAAUUUAAGAAAACAUACUCAUCCUUUUGCAAUUUUAAAUGGAAUAUUUCUGGGAUCAGUGGACCUACACAAGAGGUAUACUGUUCUAUAGUUAGACAGAUUUUGAUCAUAAGAGAUUAAUAAUAGAUUAUUGUAAACUGUUUUGUGUAAAUUAAAACUAACAUUUUGUAAACGUUUUGUAUAACCAGAAACAGACUUGACCUCUUGUCCUCUAAUUUCAUGGGUUUUUUUUAUAACUUGGCUGAAAAUAUAUAAAAACAACUGACUAAACACCGCUAAUUUUACUAUACACCAGUGAUCCACCAAUGAGAAUCCUCAAGUUAUUUUUCGAAGUCUGUAAACCUGAAUAAUGACAAACAGUGGUUUGCUCUGUGACUUGUUCAACGUUAUUUCCAAUCACCAUUAUCCCAGGGAUAAGGUCUGUUCCAAAGAAUGUCUCUGGAGGUACAAAUGCCAAAUGUAUGAUAUAGCAUUUCUCACAUGAAUGGACAUGUUGGUUAAUAAUCCUUUCUGUGAAGCAGGGGAGAAUCAGUAUUCGUCACAGCCUCCAGGGCUAGAGGUAGGACCACUGUUGUAAUUGAAGGAUACUCAAAUGUUACAUGUUUGUUAGAGUUAGUGAUGCUGUUGGAAUCAUCACCGCACCGCUGCGCUGCUGUCUGUUCCGGGGAGAAUACUCCGCUAGAGUAUGUACCGAAGUACAUUGGUACAAACUUCGCGAUGUACCAUGGUACAUGAAGUAUGACCUAGUGUAAUGCGUAUACAGUACAUUGGUACAAACUUUGCUAUGUACCAUGGUACAUGAAGUAUGACCUAGUGUAAUGCGUAUACAGUACAUUGGUACAAACUUCGCGAUGUACCAUGGUACAUGAAGUAUGACCUAGUGUAAUGCGUAUACAGUAUAUUGGUACAAACUUUGCGAUGUACCAUGGUACAUGAAGUAUGACCUAGUGUAAUACGUAUGGGGUACAUUGGUACAAACUUUGCUAUGUACCAUGGUACAUGGAAUAUGACCAAGCGGAUUGUGUACCAGGUACAUUGGUGUAACCAGACCUAUGUACCAUGGUACACAGUAUGCCCAAGUGAAAUAUGUACCUGGUACAUUGGUGUAGCCUGAUCUAUGUACCAUGGUACAUUGGUAUGAACCUUGUUUAGAACCAGGGUACAUGGAGUAUGCUAAACUUGCAUUAUGCCAUGGAGUAAAUCUCAGUUAACUUUGACAAUCUUUGGCUGAAAUGUGUAUAAAAUGUAUGUACUCAACCGCGGUUGUUCCAGUUGUCUAAGGUAUUCAAGAAGUGUCGCACUCACUCACUCACUCGACCUGGCAACAUGUGACUCAACUGAGAUGAAGGAGAUACUACCUGACAUGAUGAUUUCUCGAAUUGAGAGAAUCAUUUACCACAGCAUUAUGGCCAUCUCUGAUAAACUCAUAGGACUUGAGGUAGCUUUAGUUUAGGAUACGCCAUUGUACCCUGUAAAUGUAUGUAUACUCCUAUACUACUCAAAAACCUUAAGGAUUCUUUGAAAUUACUAUGGUUGAUGUGUCACGUUAACACAUUAAUUUUGAAUCGAGCGAUCCUUAACUUGUUUUGAGUAGUAUACUUGGGGAAAUGUAGUGGUUGUUGUUCCACAGCUGUGAACAUUAUUACUGAGAGUCUAUCAGGGAAAGAUGGUGCCAAAAUGAGAGAAAUCUGCAUGUACAAAGCUGGAUGUUGUUACUAUGGUUACGUAACAUUUUAACUGUGAGGCACUCUGCAGUGCCGCCAUAUUUGGUCUUAUCACAAUCUGUUGGUAAUGAUACAUGUAUUGCUUGCCAUAUUUUAAUUUGAAACUCAUGUCACUGUGGGAGUAUUGCUUGUCUCUGCUGGUUAGCGUUCAUUCUUAUACACCAUUACAAGUAUUGUUGACCAUCCAUGACCAUGGUGUAUGACCUGGCCAUACACAAGACAGGUGUUUCACAAAUAUGGGGGCAGUAGUGUCACAGUGACCAUAUAUGAUAAACAUGGCCUGACCACAUAUGGCGGUGAUGGACAUAUAUCUCUCUCAUAUACUGAUGGAAAAAAAUAGAGGAACACAUAUGAAAUAAAGCUUGCAUGCAUUUAGAACAAACCAGAAGUAAGCUUCGGCAAGAAAUAUUUCUUCAUCAACAUCAGCAACACAAUACUGGGCUGGUUGGUUGUUUAACGCCGCACUCAGCAAUAUUCCAGCUAUAUGGCGGCGGUCUGUAAAUAAUCGAGUCUGGACCAGACAGUCCAGUGAUCCAACGACAUGAGCAUUGGCCUACACAAUUUGGGAUACGAUGACGUGUGUCAACAAAGAGCCUGACCACUUAUUCCUGUUAGUUACCUCUUAUGACAAGCAUGGGUUACUGAAGGCUAAUUCUAACCUGGAUCUUCACGGUUAACACAAUACUGGGAGUCUCCACUUCAUGGUUAACACAAUACUGGGAGUCUCCACUUCACGGUUAACACAAAUACUGGGAGUCUCCAGGCCACAUGGAUGCCACCACUAACAAAUGCCUUGUUCCACAUCUGUUCUGUUAUUUUGUUCUAUCAGUAUAAUAUGUGAGUAUAUCUUGACCAUAUUGGGUCACAAUAGAAGAAUGUCCCUAAUGGCUUAUGUUGACCAUAUAUAGUCUUGAUAACAUUAAUUGGCCUUAUAUGGUCACAGUAUCACUCAUCGACCAUAUAUAGACCUGGUGGCAUAUGUUGACAUAUUUGGUCAAGAUCAUUUUUUGCAUGUGACAUAGCGUAUAUGAAUGUGCCUGGUAAUUACCGUUGACUGACAGCUGUCUGUCAGUAAAGCAGUGAGUGUGUUUAGAAAGGGCACCUGCUGCUGUUGUCGUGUAUGUUUGUAAGACAGAGAUCUUCUCUGACAUUGCAAGUAAAACUGGUUAUUUAUUUUAUUUAUGAAAAUAUUUGAUCAUGUGGAAAUGAAUGUGAUCUUAUUCAUUUGAAGAUUUCAUAUCAAAGUAUGCUUUUUGUUCCUUUAAUAUUCCUUCAAGGAUUUGCUGAGUGGACAGACAGUUAGAUAGCAUAUACUCAGAGGCAAAAGUAACUGUUCAUGUUAUUAUAUCAUGUAUAUUUUUACAAGGGCGAAAUAGAAAAUCCUGGGUUUUUUUUUCAAGAUGUGAAUUCUACUUUGCAAGAAAAUGUUUUUUAAUAAGGCAUCUCUUUUGAUGUUGAAGUUUAAAUUAGUUACACAAAUUGUUCCUGAAAAGUGAGGCAGGACUUCCCAUCUUACCUGACUAUUUUCCAAAGAGCCUCACACUGCCUUCUGUCAGAACUGGUGUGUUGUGUACACAACGGUGUGACCAAGCAGUCACUGAAGCCAAUGGUUCUUUAUCACAGAAAACGUUUAUGCUCAGUUUUCAAUAAAUUCACUUCACAUGAUCUCAGUUACUUUUGUCUUUGAUGAUGCUAUCAGUUAUUCAGUUCUAAAUGCAUUCAUCCUGCAGGUGUUUCUUCACCCUACAGGUGUGUCUUCACCUUGCAGAUGUCUUCACCCAACAGGUGUGUCUUCACCCUGCAGACUGCCGCCAUAUAGCUGGAAUAUUGCUGAGUGGGGCGUAAAAACUGAACUCACUCACUCACUUCACCCUACAGGUGUGUCUUCACCCUACAGCUGUGUCUUCACCCAGCGUGCAAGUGACUCUACAGACAGUUAAAUGGUUGAGACUGACUUCAAAACCUUUGUGUUUAAAAAAAUAUGUAAAUUGUGAAAGCAUUUUGCACAAACUGUACAUUAUAUGCAUGACUACAUUAACAGACGAUAUGGAAGUCAGUUUUUAUGAAUAAACAUAUCUAUGAUAAUAACUUCAAAGACUAUUAGUUAAUCAUUAACACACACAGAACAUCCAGCACGAUAAUAUAACACAAGCGUUUGUUCCUACAGCAAAGUGUUGUCCACUGACAUGUUGUGUUACAAGAUUACCUUACUAGUUGUGUCCAUACAGGACUUAUUAUUCAGUUUGUUAUUUUUAAUCUUGUCUUGAAUCUGUUGUCAACUAAUCUGUUGGUCUAUCAGGUCACUUCUUACAUUGUCUCAUUGUGUCCCAUUGUGUUAUGGUGAGACUUGAACAUUCCCUACAGCUGUUAUUUAGUUGAAGUUGCCUCACCUUUGAUAUCUCUGGAAUCCGGAAAGUCAGGGUUAAUGUCUGAAUCUAGUCCCUGUAGGAAUGAAGAACUGGUGUAUAGUUGAAGAGACAUUUGCGGUACAUAUGGAAUAAUCAGGUGUUUCUUAACUUAUUUUGAAUAGUUUAAGGUUCACGAGCAGUUGUCAGGGAUGUGAUGGUACAUGGUAACUUGCCAAGAUUGUCGUAACAUUCCUCACCAAUCUCUUUCCUCUUCUUUAUUAUGCAACAUGAAUUUUAUCACCAGAAUGGAAAGGCUCUUUGUAGAAUCACUCGUGCAGAAUGAUUUCUUAUGUACUCAGUGAAAUUAUUGUCUUGUUUCUUUAUUCCUCGCUCAUUGUGAAUAGACCCUUCUCUCCUCUUAAAUAAAUACGCCAAUAUCCUGUACAUAAUCAUUAGGUGACCAUCUGGUGUAUUUUUGAAAAUAUACGUUUAAAUUCUGAAGGAAAUGAGGAUUCAACUAGUGUCAACCACAUCACGACAUUUCACUCUGAGAAGUUCAUUCAAACAAUACCAUACACAAAUAGCAUUUCCUGAGCAAAAAUAAUUGUUUCUAAAAUAAUUAUUUAUGUUGUUAUCUCUUUUCCAAAUGUCUGGACACAAAAUAUAGAAUAUGCUUUGUCAUUUUUGCAUUAAAAAUCAAGUUGUAUUCAAUUUUUGUUUAAUGAGUGAAAAUUGGUGCAUGAUCAUAAACUUUAUGUACAAACAAUAUGUGGGUAUUUUGUAUCUGAUUUGUAGCUAAAAAACAUGUUUUAGGAUAUUUUGGAAAAUGAAAUGUUUUUUAAGGGUGUCCCAAAAAGAAAUAAGUGCACAAAUAAUUGAGUAUGUUUUGUAGAUAUAAUUCAAGUGGGUAAAAUUCAGGUAGGUUUUAGGAAACCAAAAUUUACAAAAAAAAAUAAAACUUUAAAAAUAAUAAGAAAACUAUUUUUGUGAAUUGUUAUGCUUGACUUCACAACACUUUAAAUUUUUCAGCAGUCUGAGGGUAAACAAUUACAAAAGACUAAGCAUAUUGUUUACAUCAGUUUUUCUAUUGUGGUGAGGGGCCGUGGAGGUAGCUCCAUGGUUUAAACGUUCGCUUGUCAUGCUGAAGACCCAGGUUCGAUUCCCGACAUAGUGAAUGUGUGAAGCCCAUUUCUGAUGUCGGUGGAAUAUUGCUGAAAGCGACGUAAAACUAAACUUGCCCACUCUCUCACGAUUGUGUUGAGCUGAUUGCACUACAUGUAGUCCAGUGCUAACAUUAUUAAAAUGUUGCUUAUGAGAGUUUUCAGAUCUGUGUUCAUGGUAGAGAAUUACUGCUACAUAUCCCUCUAAGGCAGUUCAAGCGAACCAGAUUGUUUCACAUUACUAGAGCUAAUAGCAGUUUGUACCACAUUCAAGUCAUGUUUGCAUGAAUAAAUUGGUUUUUCUGGGAUGUUUAUGAGAACCUUCCAUUGAAUUCAGUAUUACAUAAACUGUUGUAUUUUUUAAAAGAAAUGUUGAGUUGAUAAUAGAAUAUUUUGUAAGUUAUCAAACGAGUUUGAAAUAUCAGUUAUGGUAUUUUUGUAUCAUACAAGUGAGGUACUAAACCUGUUGUAUAUGAUGUUAUUUGACUCUAAGUCAGGUCUACUGAUAGACCGAGUUCAGGACUAUGUAUAAUAUUGAUCACCUCUACUAAACAUAUAGCUUGAAUAUUGCUGAGUGUGGCGUAAAACUAAACUCACUCACUCACAGAACAGAAAUUGUUGAAUAAUUUGUGGAUAUUUUAAUGUCUUCACUACAAGAAAAAUUAUUCAAAUUAUUCCUGAUACCGAUUUUAUUUGGUUCUUUAUUUUUGUCUAUUGUGGUAUGUUUUACCACGGAAUGGUAGAAUCACAUUGACGACACAAGUGGGUUGAGUAAUUGUUUUGUAUUAUCCAAAUUCUGGAUCCUAGUUUUUGUACAUGCAGUACAGUUGUCUAUAAAAAGAAAUGAAAGCAGAGUUGAUUUAGGAUUUCAAUUUCUUUAUCCUUUCUAUAACAUAUUUCAAGACAGGUGUAUGCAUCUUUACCAAGCAAGAUGUUCUUUCCAGUUUUUGCUGAGUGUGCAUAACAGGGGAUUUAGUUGUGUCAUACAUGUAUUUUACAAGAGGGACCAUUUGGCAGGGGGAAGUGUUGGGGGGGUCACCAAAACAUAGCCGUCAGUUUGAGGAGGAUCAUGUUGACAGUGUGAAGGACAUGGGAGGGUUUAACUCGCAUUCAGUAACAAUGACCGGUCCCCAAGAUGCAGCAUUGUUUUCAUGGCAGGGGGUAGAGUAAAGCUACCCACGAAAGCAAUUUUCAGGUGUUUGAAAACGUUACUUACUUGAUAGUUACAGGCAAUGGAUGCAGAAACAAAUCAUGAAUGAAUACAGUAGCAUGAGAGGACUAAGUUGGUGAUACAUCUGUGAAUCAUGACACGAUAUUCUGGGAAAAAUGAUCGCUAGAAUAGCAUAGAGAAACUUCAGUAUCUGGACAAGGAAAUGGAACUGAAAUAAUCUUGAAACUGACUUGUUUUCAUCAAUGUGACAUUAUGUUGGACACAUCAUUAGUUUUGGGUAACCAUGAGGUCAUCUCUCCGUGCAGUCUCCAUAGUGCCAGUCAGACUUUCUUAACCUCCGGGUGUCAGUGAUCAUGGCAGAUCCUCAUCAUGAUAAGAAUAAACUGCAUCAGAAUUGUCUUUGUAUUGAAGUUAACUAGUUUUCUUGACUGUUAGAAUGUAUGUUUAUGCUCUAUUUCUACAUUUGUGAUUGAAUUGGGAAACAUGUUAAAUGUUUUGUACCUUUCUCCAUUUUGUGGUGAUGAACCGUGGUUUUGCACAAGAGAGAUUUGGUAGAAAGCUGCAUCUCUGAUUUGGCAUCAAGCACAAUGGACAUCAACUAAUGGCAUCUGUCUAUCUCAGCAGAUGAAAAGAAGGUCAGUCUGUUUUCUUCAUUUCAGUGACUGUAAACUCAAUAUGUGUAUCAUUUGUGCAAUUCUAACUCGAGACAAAUAGACAAUUGUUUACUUGACCAAAACCUUUGCAGUUACUGUUUGAUGAAGCUGUGAGUUCCUCUGAUUUGAGGACCUACUGUGUUGUAUGUAUUGUCAUUUGGUUCAUGGCGGCCAUAUUGCAAUGGUUGCCACUAUUUCAUUCUGUCUCUCCAUCUUGGACGUUCAUCUUGUAUAUUCAUGUUUCACUCUGUCAUCAUUCAAUCUCAUCAUUUUCUACUUGUUAAUGCAUAUUCAAUAAAAUGUCGAAUAUU